UACGAAGGGGGCUAGCGUUGCUCGGAAUUACUGGGCGUAAAGGGCGCGUAGGCGGAUUAACAAGUUGGAGGUGAAAGCCCAGGGCUCAACCUUGGAAUAGCCUUCAAAACUGUUAAUCUGGAGUAUGGAAGAGGUAAGUGGAAUUCCGAGUGUAGAGGUGAAAUUCGUAGAUAUUCGGAGGAACACCGGUGGCGAAGGCGACUUACUGGUCCAUUACUGACGCUGAGGCGCGAAAGCGUGGGGAGCAAACAGG
rnacentral:rRNA from 1 species